rnacentral:tRNA from 1 species
GCCCCCGUGCUGGAAUUGGCAGACAGGGACGGCUCAAAACCGUCUGCCCGGAAGGGCUUGUGGGUUCGAGUCCCACCGGGGGUA